AGAUUGAACGCUGGCGGCAUGCCUUACACAUGCAAGUCGAACGGCAGCACGGGAGCAAUCCUGGUGGCGAGUGGCGAACGGGUGAGUAAUAUAUCGGAACGUGCCCAGUCGUGGGGGAUAACGCAGCGAAAGCUGUGCUAAUACCGCAUACGAUCUAUGGAUGAAAGCGGGGGAUCGCAAGACCUCGCGCGAUUGGAGCGGCCGAUAUCAGAUUAGCUAGUUGGUGGGUAAAAGCCUACCAAGGCGACGAUCUGUAGCUGGUCUGAGACCCGGACGACCAGCCACACUGGAACUGAGACACGGUCCAGACUCCUACGGGAGGCAGCAGGUGGGGUAAUUUUGGAACAAGUGGGCGACAAGCCUGAUCCAGCAAUGCCGCGUGCAGGAUGAAGGCCUUGGUUAGUAAC
rnacentral:rRNA from 1 species